rnacentral:lncRNA from 1 species
AGCCAUCUCGCUAAUAAUUAUGGACCCGAAGGUCUGUGGUAAACUACUCACACAUCAUCGGAGAGGCUAUGGUGUUGGUGUAGAAGCCCUCCGUGAUCGAAUCCCCUCCAGCAGAUUGCUGGAAAAGGUCCCCAAAUGGGAUCUCACAGGUACAGAAGGUUGCGGCGGUGGAAAAGUGGUUUCGUGGCUCCCCUGGAUGUUUUCAGGGUAUAAGAGUAUAUAUAGGCGAAAUAAGUAGGUAGGUGGAGCUACGAGGGGCCCACGAGGGUGGGGGGUGCGCCUGCCCCCCUGGGCGCGCCGCUCUACCUCAUGGCCGCCUCAUGGCUUUCUUGACCUCCACUCCAAGUCUCCUGGAUUGUGUUUGUUCCAAAAAAGAUCCUCGCGAAGGUUUCAUUCUGUUUGGAUUCCGUUUGAUAUUCCUUUUCUGCGAAACCCUGAAAUAGGAAAAAAGUAGCAAUUUGCACUGGGCCUUUGGUUAAUAGGUUAGUCGCAAAAAUAAUAUAAAAGUGCAUAACAAAGCCCAUUAAACAUCCAAAACGGAUAAUAUAAUAGCAUGGAACAAUAAAAAAUUAUAGAUACAUUGGAGACGUAUCAAGCAUCCCCAAGCUUAAUUCCUUCUCGUCCUCGAGUAGGUAAAUGAUAAAAACAGAAUUUUUGAUGUGGAAUGCUACCUAACAUAAUUUUCAAUGUAAUUUUCUUUAUUGUGGCAUGAACAUUCAGAUCCGAAAGAUUCAAGACAAAAGUUUAAUAUUGACAUAAAAAUAAUAAUAAUUCAAGCAUGUUAACCAAGUAAUUAUGUCUUAGCAAAUAACAUAGCCAAAGAAAGCCUAUCCCUACAAAAUCAUAUAGUUUGGCCAUGCUUAAUUUUCGUCACAAAAAAUGCUCCCAUCAUGCACAACCCCGAUGACAAGCCAAGUAGUUGUUUCGUACUUAGCAUUUUCAAACUCUUUCAAUUUUCACGCAAUAUACGAGCACGAGCCAUGGACAUAGCACUAUGGGUGGAAUAGAAUAUGAUGAUGGAGGUUGUUUGAGAAGACAAAAAAGGGAGAAAGUCUCACAUUGACACGGCUAAUCAACGGGCUAUGGAGAUGCCCAUUAGUUGAUGUCAAUGCAAGGAGUAGGGAUUGCCAUGCAACGGAUGCACUAGAGCUAUAAAUAUAUGAAAGCUCAAUAAAAUAAACUAAGUGGGUGUGCAUCGAACUUGCUUGCUAACGAAUACCUAGGGCAUUUUGAGGAAGCCCAUCGUUGGAAUAUACAAGCCAAGUUCUAUAAUAAAGAAUUCCCACUAGUAUAUGAAAGUGAUAAAAUAGGAGACUCUCUAUCAUGAAGAUCAUGGUGCUACUUUGAAGCACAAGUGUGGAAAAAGGAUAGUAACAUUGCCCCUUCUCUCUUUUUCUCUCAUUUUUUUCUUUUUUUAUGGCAUCCUCUUUUUUUAUGGCCUCUCUCUUUUUUUCGUCCGGAGUCUCAUCCCGACUUGUGGGGGAAUCAUAGUCUCCAUCAUCCUUUCCUCACAUGGGACAAUGCUCUAAUAAUGAAAGUCAUCACACUUUUAUUUACUUACAACUCAAGAAUUACAACUCGAUACUUAGAACAAAUUAUGACUCUAUAUGAAUGCCUCCGGUGGUGUACCGGGAUACGCGAUGAAUCAAGAGUGACAUGUAUGAAGGAAAUACGAAGGUGGCUUUGGCACAAAUACGAUGCCAACUGCAUAAUCAUGCAAAGCAAUAUGAUAAUAAUGGAGCAUGUCAUAAUAAACGGAAUGGUAGAAAGUUGCAUGGCAAUAUAUCUUGGAAUGGCUAUGGAAAUGCCAUAAUAGGUAGGUAUGGUGGCUGUUUUGAGCAAGAUAUAAGGAGGUUUAUGUGUGAUUGUCACAUCCCUAGUUCUGGUAUGCACUAGGCUAACCCUUCAUGUGUGCAUCAUGUUUAAAUUUCUCAAAAACUUGAAAUGGGGAUUGCCUAAACCACUAGCAUCAAAGGAAUUCACUAGGUUCACCUAAAUUAUUUUCAGUACAUCCAAAUGGCUUUCAAGAAUGUUCAUCAUUUAUGGAAAAUGCUAUAAACAGUAACCAGAGGUGAUGCACAUUUUUCCAUGACAUAUUUGGGCUCUAAAUCAUACUUUAUUUGCAUUUGGGCAUUUAAAUACUAUAAAUCAUUUUAAAUGUCCAAAUGAUCUUGAUAGUAAAUGAGGGCUGUUGGAAAUAUUCCAAACAGAGCCCACAAAUAUUUCAAGAUUUGUGAAAAUGCUCUAGCAUUUUUAUUAAAGCAAAAAUUUUUACAGAAAAUAGAAAAACAGAAACUAAAUAGAAAAUCGGAGAGACAGGGCACUGUACCUGGCAGCAGACUUACCUGGCCCAACUAGCGGCCCAGCCCACGCAGCCAUCCGCCAGUCAUCGUCCUCCUCCAGCCAGAAGGACGAGAGUGCGUGGCCACCGCGCGCAAGCACACGCCCCGGCCACCUCCUGCUUCUGCCGACGCCCUGGACGACCCCAGAGGGCGCCACGCACCUCCCUGCCUCUCUCUCUCACUCUCCCUCGCUCUCACCCCCUUCCCUGGAUCCCUCUCUUUCGUGCCCGAGCACACCACAGCGCGCCGCCGAGCACCACCAUGGUCGUCGCCCCUCCCUCGUCCCCUCGAGCAGUACAGAGGCCCCAUGUCGGUGUCAAAACCGGCGGAUCUCGGGUAGGGGGUCCCGAACUGUGCGUCAAGGCCGGAUGGUAACAGGAGACAAGGUACACGAUGUUUUACCCAGGUUUGGGCCCUCUCGAUGGAGGUAAUACCCUACUCCUGCUUGAUUAAUAUUGAUGACAUGGGUAGUACAAGAGUAGAUCUACCACGAGAUCAAGGAGGCUAAACCCUAGAAGCUAGCCUAUGGUAUGAUUGUUGUAUAUGGAGUUGAUCGCCUACGGACUACAACCCUCCGGUUUAUAUAGACACCGGAUAGGGUUAGGGUUACAUCGAGUCGGUUACAAUGGUAGGAGAUCUUGAAUAUCCGCAUCCCCAAGCUUGCCUUCCACGCCAAGGAAAGUCCCAUCCGGACACGGGACGAAGUCUUCAAUCUUUUAUCUUCAUAGUCCAGGAGUCCGGCUGAAGGUAUAGUCCGGCUACCCGAACACCCCCUAAUCCAGGACUCCCUCAGUAGCCCCUGAACCAGGCUUCAAUGACGAUGAGUCCGGCGUGCACAUUGUCUUCGGCAUUGCAAGGCGGGUUCCUCCUCCAAGUCCUUCAUAGAAGAUUGUAAACACCAAGAGUAGUGUCCGGCUCUGCAAAAAAAGCUUCCAUGUAUUGCCAUAGAGAGAAUAAUAUUAACACAAAUCUAAUCCGCUGACGUAUUCCGCAGCGUGACAUCACACUAUGGCCAAGUUCUUCACUCGAAUUGUUUUCACUUUUCCACCUCAACGUCUUUUGCGAGGCGGUUUCCUUGGCACGUCUUGUCAACGCAGAGAUCGUGUACCCCCCUUUUACGGGAUUCUCAUCAAUACGGACGUGGGUAACCCAACCGCGCCACUUAUCAUGGCGCUUGGGAGGCAAGCGAGUUUUAGUAGGCUGGUGGGGAUGCAUAGUCGCAUCCGCCCAUAUAAGGGGAUAAGGAUCCACCUUUUUACCUACGCCUUCUUCCUCCUUUGCCUAUCCAUCUUCUGCGCACCCGAGCUCCAGCGCCUGAGCCCGCACUUCCUACCUCAACCCUCUCCAACAAUGUCCGGAGCGGGAGGCAAAUGGAUGGUCUCCUCCAUCACGGAGGGCCAUGUCAAAAGGUUAAGGAAGGCCGGAUACUUGUCCAAAUACAUCGCGCACCGGCUUCCUGAGGAGGGGCAGCUUCUCCCCACCCCAAGGCCCCAUGAGAGGGUAGUAUUUCUCCCCCACUUCCUCCGCGGACUGGGUUUUCCACUCCACCCAUUUGUCCAGGGGCUCAUGUUCUACUACAGCCUGGAUUUCCACGAUCUGGCUCCGAACUUCAUCCUCAACAUCUCGGCGUUUAUCGUCAUGUGCGAGGCUUUUCUCCGCGUCUGCCCCCAUUUCGGCCUCUGGAUCAAGACCUUCAACGUCAAGCCCAAGGUGGUGCGCGGCAGCCAGGCGAAGUGCAGAGGCGCCAUGGCGGGCAAGAUGGCCAACGUCCUAUGGCUCGAGGGCUCCUUCAUGGAGACCCUGAAGGGGUGGCAAUCGUGGUGGUUUUACAUCACCGAGCCGCGCGAUCCGAAAUAGAUCACAACCCCCGAGUUCCGAUCCGGACCCCCCAUGCGGCUUAUGUCCUGGAAAGAGACGGGCCUAUCGAUGGGCGAUGAAAAAGAAGUGACCGGAUUGCAUACAUGCAUCCAGUCCCUGGUGAGCAAGCCGAUCAAGCUUGUCAAUGUAGUCCAGGUCAUGCUCGUCCGCCGGAUCCUCCCGUGUCAACAACGGGACUUUACUCUGUGGAAGUUCGACCCGGCACAACACCAAACCCUUAACAGGCUCUUCGGCACGACGUAUGAAGACGUCUGGAAGGUGCUAACCAAAGGCGCCGAGGCUCCCACAUCCGCUUUCGAGGACCGCGGAUACAGCUCGCAGCGGCACGCUAGCGAGGCAAGCUAUUUUUACCUUUUACAGGAUGUUAAGUUUUUUCAUAGUUUGACUCUAUGCGGGAUCUAAACUCCCUCACCUUUGACAGGCUUGGCGGGCGAAGUCCGGAUCGAUUAACUGUCCGGCUCCCUUGCCCGAAGACCCAGCCCCUGCUCUCCUAGAGAAGCUGCUGGUUCCCGCACCUUAUGUGGUGCCGGAGAAGAAGGCCAAGAAGAAGAAGGCCAUGGGGACUCGAAAGAGUGCCCGUAAUGUGGUGGUGUUGGACUCGUCAUCCGACGAGUCCGAGACACUCUCCUCCCAUGAGAACGAGGAGGAGGAAGAAGAAAACUCUCCCCCUCCAGCGGGGGGAGGAAAGAAAAGGAAGGCCGCCCCAACAGGGGACACCGAAGGGUCCAGGAAGAGGAAGACCCCUCCGCCGAACUACUCCCCCGACGCCGAAGAGGACGAAGAGGAGUGGCCAGAUAGAGCCAAGCGUUCGGCGAAAUCGUAAGUAUUCAGAUAUCAGAGUAACUCAUGACGUUCCUUUGUUGCACAGCUUUCCCUAAUGUCGAAUCAUAAUUAUGCAGCCCGCCCCGGGCCGAACUCGACAAGUCGUCGAGCGGCUCCCUGGAUUCAUCGGACGUGAACUCAUUUCCGCCCGCUGUCUCCCCCCGCACUGCGGACGACGCCGAAGUGGCGUCGCAACAAGCUCCGGGGCAGGAGGAGGUGGUCCUGGAGGAGCCGCAAGGCGACCUCCCGGACCCCAGGAGUAAAGGGGACAAGACCCCCCAGGGCUCCAAGUCCGGCUUUGAGCCGGACACCGCGCCGGAAUCUUCAACAGUUCCGUACCGCAGUAGGUGAACUCCUUCCAAGAGGAGCAAGCCUUCUAAGCCGACGGCCUCCAUCCAACCGGAGGUGCCGGACAAUCUGCUGGAGGUGCUUGACGGCGCCUCCAUCGACGAGGAGCACCAUACUAUUAUGAGUACGGUGAUCCAGAAGGUUCAGUCCGCCAAGAGCGGACUGAGUGAAGCUUGCGCUAGCCUUUUAACAGGCUUCGAGGUAAGUAAAAAAUAUGUAAGAAUAUAACCGCAUAGACAGUAGCCCCUGAUGCUGUGUUUGGCGUUCGAAAAGAAAAGCCGAAUAGAGGAUCUAUUAAAUUUCACAGGAGUCUAACAACAAAGAGUCAAUAUGCAUAUGCAGGCUUCGCUGCUAGCCACCACCGCACUGACUGCGGAGGUGGGUGCCCUGAAACAGGGACUCGAGCGGGCCGAGCAAGAGCUCGGCCUUGCCAAGCGGCAGCUCAAGGAGAAAGAAGGUAAGAAAUACCUUACAGAAAAAAUGCCUAUAGGAAGGCGCAAUUGCAAAAACUGACAGGAGUAUACUGCUUAUUGUAGGGGCCACAACUGAGGUGGCGACCCUCAAGCAGGCGUUGUCCGAGGCCGAGAAGAAAGCGGCCACGGAGCGUGCUGAGCGGGAGAAAUUUGAGGCGCAGGUCAGCGGGGUGCGGCAAGAGCUUCAAGUUCUCAUGCAAAAACAUGAGAGUUUGGAGCUCGACUCGAAGACGCGAGCGUCCGAGCUUGCUGCGGCCCUUAAAACUGCCAAAUCUGCCCAGGCCGAAGCCCAGAAGGCCCUCCAAGAGUUGGAGGAGACGAAGAAGAUUGCAGCGGGUAAGGCAUUCUUUAUGCAAAGCAGAAAUAUAAAAGUGAACUACUUGUUACUUACCCGAAUCCGGAGCUCUCCAGGGGCAUUCGCAGAUCUUCCCUGCAGCGUAUCCGCCGCCGCCGCAUUCUACCGAGCUGAAGAGGGCAGCUCGACGGAGAAGGUGUUCUGGUCUCAGUAUGCUGAGGCCGGACACCCUGUGCCCUUGAGCGACCAGCUGAAAUAGCUGGUCGAGCUCCACAAGGCGGCCGAACAGGCCAUGAAGGGCUUCAUAGUUCGGCUGUGGCCCGGAGAGGCCCUGCCUGGGAGCUACUUUGGGCUGGUGCGGCGGCUGGUGGAGGCCUGUCCAAGGCUCGAGGUCAUCAAGCGCUCUGUCUACAUCGAAGGUGCCAGUAGGGCCCUUGCCCGUGCUAAGGUGCACUGGGGUAAGCUGGAAGGUGAGAAGCUAGUGAUGGAGGGGCCGCCGCCGGGGAAGGAGCAUCGCAAGCCCGAGAACUACUAUAAGGAUGUUCUUGCGGGUGCCCGCCUUGUGGCGGAUGAAUGUACCAAGGAUGUAAUUUUUGAAUGAACUCGCUCGUGUUUAUCCUAUGUGCUGAAAACUUGUUCAUAGGCGCUAAGCAAUGCUUGUUGAAUUUAAAAUAUUAUUUUCUGUGCGGCCGUUUAUCAAAAAAUUGAGAGAUGGCCAGUCGUCGGCUUCUGCCCCCAUGCCACUAGUGCUGGGGUGUUCGGGAUAAACCUGAGCGCUCUUUUUCCCAUAGUUGGGUCCUUCGAGGGAGGCGCUCAGCACAACGAACCAGGCAAUCGGACUAUAAUGCUUGAACACUCUCACUUAGCCAUAGAACUUUAUAAUUUUAAAUUUCGGCGAAGCCCCUAGUUCGGAAGACCGAGUUCGGGGCGCUAUCCACGCCUUGGCCGGACAAAUCCGGCUCCUCGCUUGAAAUGGCAUAAGUCUUUAGGGACUCGAAAAACCUCUCGAACAGCGACCGGUCUCUCGCCUCAUCAUGACAGUCAGUUUUAGCUUUCUCCACUGAGGUGCUUAACCCAGCUCAAUCGGGGCACAAUCGCAGUGGUUCUCCUAGUGCUACCUUAGCCGAUAUAGCGGAACGCAAGGCACCAAAACAUAGGAGCCGGGCAAACCCAACUAUUGACCCAAAUCAUGAUUCAGAGCCGAUGCAUAUAGUGCUAUAAGUUCGGGGUGCCGCACUUGUGAAAGUGUACGGGCUUCUCACACCAUAUUGAGGGGUAUCAAAGCCCCUGGCAUAUUUUGCCAUACCAUAGUGUACGGGUGCAACAUGUCAUUUAAUAAACAUAAAUGUGAAAAGAAGAUAAUGCAAAAAAUAGACAAGAAGCUAAGCAUUGUUUAUAGAGAGGCUAUUUAUCAAAGCCGAACGAUACAAAUAGUGCAGUAAGCAAAAUAUAUUGGACUAUUCAGUAUGUCCUGACCAGCGGCAGGCCGCGGAAUUGUAUUUAAAAUAGGUAUACCGCUUGUAACAGAGACCACCUGGGAGUUCCAUAAUGCGGCAUGGCUUGUCUGCCUCCCUGGAUCUUGCAUCGUUUGUGCGGCAGUCGAAUUGCCGAACAGGUCGUCCGAAGUAUGGAGUCCUGAAAGUAAGAAAAAAAUAAAAAAAGAAUCCGGCAGCCCCUAGUACGUUUUAAGCCAUAUUUUGGGCGUGCCGUUGUUGUGCCCCUUCCCCUGUGCCCAUGGUAUUUCAAGAGCGUAGUUAUGUACGCGCGGUACUGGUUUCGCUAUGUCGCGGAAGCUGGGGUUGCGGCCGCAUUGCUACGCUUGCUCAGAGUGUGCCAGGCGGUCCUGCUGUGGGUUACUCCGGGCGCGCUUGGCAGUGUCUGGCUUUUUAAUGGCCGGACUGGAGAAUUGCCUAAGAAGGCUACUUUGUACUUCCGCUGCGAGAGCCGCCGUAUGCUCCUCCGUACGGAGGGAGCGUUUGGUGUUUCCGUUGACCAUAAUUACUCCUCGAGGGCCUGGCAUCUUGAGCUUGAGAUAUGCGUAGUGCGGCACCGCAUUGAACUUUGCGAAUGCGGUUCAUCCGAGCAGGGCGUGAUAGCCACUGCGAAACGGGACUAUAUCGAAGAUUAACUCUUUGCUUCGGAAAUUGUCCGGGGAUCUGAAGACCACAUCAAGUGUUACUGAGCCUGUACAGUUGGCUUCUACACCUGGUAUAACGCCUUUAAAGGUCGUUCUUGUGGGCUUAAUCCUUGAGGGAUCUAUGCCCAUUUUCCGCACUGUAUCCUGAUAAAGCAGGUUCAGGCUACUGCCGCCGUCCAUGAGGACUCUUGUGAGAUGAGGUCGAGAACCAAUGCGGCGAAGCCUCCAUGACGGAUGCUAGUGGGAUGGUCCCUUUGAUCAAAGGUGAUCGGGCAGGAGGACCAUGGGUUGAACUUUGGGGCGACUGGCUCCAUUGCGUAUACGUCCCGUAGCGCACGCUUCCGCUCCCGCUUGGGAAUGUGGGUUGCGUAUAUCAUGUUCGCCGUCCGCACUUGUGGGGGAAAGCCCUUUUGUCCAUUGUUGUUCGGCGGCUUGGGCUCCUCGUCGUCGCUGUGCAGCCCCUUGUCUCUGUUUUCGGCCCUUAACUUUCCUGCCUGCUUGAACACCCAACAAUCCCUGUUAGUGUGAUUGGCUGGCCUUUCGGGGGUGCCAUGUAUCUGGCACAAGCGAUCGAGUAUUCGGUCCAAACUGGAUGGGCCCUGAGUAUUCUUUUUGAAUGGCCUUUUCCGCUGACCGGAUUUAUAGCCUUUGAAUCCGGCAUUGACUGCCGUGUCUUCAUUGCUAUCGCUGUUAACACGGAGUUUUUGCUUAUUCCGACGUGUCCUGCCACUUUUGUCCUUGGUAUCUGAAUUACCAGGGUUCUUUGAUAAGUUGUUACUGCGAGCUAGCCAGCUGUCUUCUCCCGCGCAAAAGAGGGUCAUGAGUGUCGUGAGGGCUGCCAUGGAUUUCAGCUUUUCCUGUCCCAGGUGUCGGGCCAGCCACUCGUCGCGGAUGUUAUGCUUGAAGGCUGCUAGGGCCUCUGCAUCCGGACAGUCGACUAUCUGGUUUUUCUUUGUUAGGAAUCGUGUCCAGAAUUGUCUGGCCGAUUCCUCUGGCUGCUGAAUUAUGUGGCUUAAGUUGUUGGCAUCCGGCGGUCGCACGUAAGUGCCCUGGAAGUUGUCGAGGAAUGCGGCUUCCAGGUCCUCCCAAGGACCGAUUGAGUCUGCUGGCAAGCUGUUAAGCCAAUGUCGGGCCGGUCCUUUAAGUUUGAGUGGGAGGUAUUUGAUGGCGUGUAGAUCAUCGCCGCGUGCCAUGUGGAUGUGAAGGAGAUAAUCCUUGAUCCAUACUGCCGGAUCUGUUGUGCCAUCGUAUGAUUCGAUGUUUACGGGUUUGAAACCCUCUGGGAUUUUAUGAUCCAUUACUUCAUUUGUGAAGCAUAGCGGGUGUGCGGCGCCUCUGUACUGGGCUAUAUCACGACGCAGCUCGGAAGAGCUAUGUCUGUUGUGUUCGGCCCGGCCGGAUUUGUUGUAUCCGGAAUGAAGAUCAUUGUCACAUGCCAUAGGGCGCCUGCGCGAUCCGUAGAUCGAUCUUCUUUGUCUUGCCUUAUCCUCCAGUAUAUCUCGCAGGUCGGGCGCAUUUUCCCAUGCCUUAGUUGAGCGGCGUCGGGGCAUGGCUUGGGUGGAGGGCCGAGAGGCCUCUCUGUCGCGGCCACGAGGUGGCCAGUCUGCCAUGUCAUGCGCUGGUGAUGUAGGUGCUUCCUCCUCUGAUCGGGGUAGUGGCCUGCACUUCGGGUAACUCUUGGAGGGGCGUUCGAGUUCAUACUCUUCAGCCGCAAGGUCUUCAGUCCAUUUGUCAGCUAGCAAAUCUUGGGCAGCUCUAAGUUGUUGCUGCUUUUUCUUGAGGCUGCUUGCCGUGGCUAAAAGCCUGCGUUUAAAACGCUCUUGUUCGGCGGGGUCUGAUGGUAUGAUGAAUUCGUCGUCAUCGAGGCUUGCCUCGUCUUCGGAGGGAGGCGUAUAGUUAUCAUCCUCGACCUCUCGGUCUGCCGCUCUCUCAUGAGGGCUGGCUUCUCCAUCUUCAUGUGCCGAAUCUUCCUGAGGUGGGUGUUCUUCGGCGCUAUCCGGGGUAGUAUUAUCUCCCAUGCCGGAAUCACCGUUUUUGCUUUGGCGGGAUUUAGAGCGGUGCCGCUGACGCCGGCACUUUGGCUGUUUCUUGGGGGCGUCAUCCCCCACUGUUCCAUCGCCAUCUCCAUCUUUUGGAGUAUCCACCAUAUAUAUGUCAUAUGACAAGGUGGCCUUCCAGCGCCCUACAGGUGCUGGUUCCUGUUCGUCUCCUACAUCGUCGUCCAUCCCAUCGAUGUCUUCAGAGCUGAAGUCAAGCAUGUCGGUUAGAUCGUCGACAGUGGCUACAAAGUGGGUGGUGGGUGGGCUUUGAAUUUCCUUAUCAUCCGUAUCCCCCCCUCGUUGACCAUAGUCCGGCCAGGGCUCUCCUUAUAAAGAGAGAGACUUAAGAGAAUUCCGGAUGUCGCCAAAAGGCGAAUGCUGAAAGAUGUCUGCGGCGGUGAACUCCAUUAUCGGCGCCCAAUUGGAUUCGAUUGGCAGGGGCGUGGGGGGUUCGGAGUCUAGGGAGGAGUCCAGAUCCUCGGAGUCACGGGUCGUGCAGAGUGCGGGGCUAGCGUUCGGCUCGAUCGUCUUUGAGAUCGCAGCCCCCGAGGUGACGUCCAACCGCUCAUCCUCGAUUAGCGCAAUAGGCUCUGAGUUAGGGGUCGGAACCGAUGCGUGUGCGGCCUCCAGGACACUGUCCGGAGGCAGAGCUAGAUCAUGCCUCUCGAGAUAGUGCGGCGCGCUUGGCCGUGGCUCGAACCCGUCGAAGAUCAAGUCUUCGCGGAUAUCAGCUGUGUAGUUUAAGCUUCCAAACCUGACUUGAUGGCCAGGGGCGUAGCUUUCGAUCUGCUCCAGGUGGCCGAGCAAAUUGGCCCGCAGAGCGAAGCCGCCGAAGACGAAGAUCUGUCCGAGGAGAAAAGUCUCACCCUGGACCGCAUCGUUGUUGAUGAUCAAAGGAGCCAUCAGGCCUAAAGGCGACGACACAGAGGAACUCUCAAUGAAAGCACCAAUGUCGGUGUCAAAACCGGCGGAUCUCGGGUAGGGGGUCCCGAACUGUGUGUCAAGUCCGGAUGGUAACAGGAGACAAGGGACACGAUAUUUUUACCCAGGUUCGGGCCCUCUCGAUGGAGGUAAUACCCUACUCCUGCUUGAUUAAUAUUGAUGAUAUGGGUAGUACAAGAGUAGAUCUACCACGAGAUCAAGGAGGCUAAACCCUAGAAGCUAGCCUAUGGUAUGAUUGUUGUAUAUGGAGUUGAUCGCCUACGGACUACAACCCUCCGGUUUAUAUAGACACCGGAUAGGGUUAGGGUUACAUCGAGUCAGUUGCAAUGGUAGGAGAUCUUGAAUAUCCGCAUCGCCAAGCUUGCCUUCCACGCCAAGGAAAGUCCCAUCCGGAAACGGGAUGAAGUCUUCAAUCUUGUAUCUUCAUAGUCCAGGAGUCCGGCUGAAGGUAUAGUCCGGCUACCCGAACACCCCCUAAUCCAGGACUCCCUCACCCCGCCUCGUCACCCUCGUCCUCUUCGUCGAGCCACGCGGCACUCGACGCCCCCGAACGUCAUCACUGCGGUCGUCUUCUACCUCGGCCAACCGAGAUCGCCGGCGCCCAUCCGUCGUCCACGGUGCCUCCCCGAGCCCGCUGAGGCCUCCAUUGGAAUCCAUGUGAGCUCCCGCUCCGAACCCCUCUCUUCCCCGCCUCUUUUGCGCCGUGUAGCCCUAGUUUCACCGGAGCCGAUAGCUCCUCGCCGCCGGCCAUGCCGCCACCGCGGCUACGGCUGCGCAAGCUCGGCUCCAAGCACGUCAACACACUUAGGGAGUCUCCAGGAGCUCGAAUCACCUGCCAGUUAGUCCUGCCCUGCACCGUAGCCACAACCCCGUGAAAACUCGAAAUCUGUCCGCCGCCGCGAGCUUGAUUCCGGAAAGCUUGGGCCGUCCUAGCCCCUCCCUCCUGCCCUAGUAGAUGCGCGCGAAUGCCAGCUCACCGUAGAGCCAAACCCCACAGAAAGUGCGUUAUAUCGACUAGAGGGGGGUGAAUAGGCGAUUUUUAUGAAAGUCUUCAAAAUGUGGAAGUUUCGAAGACAAACGAUAGAAAUAAACCUAUUACCAUGCAGCGGAAGGUAGACUACACUAGGCAAACCAUUGUCAAGUAUUCAAUGGAGUGACAACACAAUGACUAAUAGCAGCAAUCUAGUAAGGAUCAGGUAGGAAGAUGUUAUGAAGCCAAACAGAACACACAGUCACUCAGUGAAGACAAAAGAUAGUGCAAACAUACAAUGACUUCACAAGGAGUAACAGUAAGUAAAGGGAAGGGAAGGAUGAAACCAGUGACUCGUUGAAGACAAUGAUUUGUUGGACCAGUUCCAGUUGUUGUGACAACUGUACGUCUGGUUAGGGCGGCUAGGUAUUUAAACCUGAGGACACACAGUCCCGGACACCCAGUCUUGAACACGCAGCUCAGGACACCAGUCCUCGCCGUAUUCCCCUUGAGCUAAGGUCACACAGACCUCGCCCAAUCACUCUGGUAAGUCUUCAAGGUAGACUCCCAAACCUUCACAGACUUCUUUCACCUGCGAUCCACAAUGUCUCUUGGAUGCUCAGAACGCGACGCCUAACCGGCUGGAGGAUUCACAAUCCUCAAGUGUAAUAAGUCUUCAGAUCACACAGACAAGAAGACUUAAGUGAUGCCUAAUUCUCUUUGGCUCUGGGUGGUUAGGGCUUUAUCCUCGCAAGGAAUUCUCUCUCAAAGGCUUCGAGGUGGGUUGCUCUCAAAUGACAAAAGCCGUACUCUAACUCUGAGCAGCCAACCAUUUAUGGUUGUAGGGGGUGUGCUAUUUAUGGCCACUAGGCAACCCGACCUGAUUUGUCCGAAAUGACCCUGGGUCACUAAGGAACUGACACGUGUUCCAACGGUCAGAUUUCAAACUCACACGGCAACUUUACUUGGGCUACAAGCAAAGCUGACUUGUCCGACUCUGGACAAGACUCGCUCUCAUAGUCUUCACUCGAAGACAUAGGUUUUGGUUAAGCAUCACUUCAGUCAUUCUGACUGGUUCUCUUGGACCCCACUUAAUAGUACGGUGGUUCCUAUGACUCAACAAAGAAGAAAAAGAACUACGAAAGAUCUAAGUCUUCGAGCUCCAUAGGCUUCAUGCGAUGUCUUCUCUUGUCAUAGUCUUCAAUGUGAAUAUCUUCAUAUACCACCUUUGACAUCAAUGUCUUCAUACAUUUUUAGCGGUCAUCUCUGGUAGGAAAACCGAAUCAAUGAGGGACUUCUACAUGUGUUAUCCUACAAUUCUCACAAACACAUUAGUCCCUCAACUAGGUUUGUCGUCAAUACUCCAAAACCAACUAGGGGUGGCACUAGAUGCACUUACAAUCUCCCCCUUUUUGGUGAUUGAUGACAAACUAGUUGAAGUUUUCAAUGGGGAAUAUAAUAUGUGAAAUUGUAAAGGAUAAGGAAUUGUAUUCAUAAGUUGCAAGGGCUCCCCCUGAAGAUGUGCAUAUAAGUAAUUUGCUUUUGGAAUGCAAAUGCACAUGGCAGGUUGUGCUUGUGGAGAUCCUCUUCAACUUAUGAUGACACAUGUGAAGGUAUGUGAAGAUAAUGACAUGCAUAAUGGAAAAUGGACGUCUGCAAAAUGAUCUAAGUGCGGAAUUUAUCGUCGCACAUGCGGAAUUUAUCAUUGCAUCACGAGGUGGCAAAUAAGUAGCAGACGACCAUCGAGUUUAAGUGUUACAACUCAAAGAACCAACUGUAUCAAAGAAAACGAGAGUUGUAAACACGAAGCAAAAAGUAUAAAGCACCCGCCCAUAUGGACCCGCUUGAAGACUAUCAAACUCAUAUGCUUCUCCCCCUUUUGUCAGUAAGGACCAAAAAGGUUUGAAGAUAUAGAGCAUCUACUCGUUCCCAUGAAGAGUAGGUGAAGCAGCAGGGUCAUCGGUGGUGUUCGACAGUGCAGAAGAACUUGGAGCAGUGUCGAAGCGUGCUGAAGGAGGUGGCGGUGAAGUAGCAUCAUCUUCAUCCUCGAUCACUCUGGCAUUCACAGUUGCAGCAGAGGAAGAGAACUCAGAGUCUUCAAGAGAUGGAGUUCGUCGUAGCACUGCCCUUUGAGGAGGUGUGGAGUCAAACUUGAAGCAUUCAGAGAAGCCAUCCUCUUGAAGAUCAUCUUCAGAACACAUCAGCGUCAGCCCUUUCCAUGUGCGUCGAGAGGUUUCAUGGGCAACAAAGGCAUUCUUGGUGGCAAGAUUGUGAAUGCGAUUAACAUCCACCAAGAGGCUUUGCAUUUGACGCUUCAGCCAGUCAUGAUGCCUAUCCUGUUUCUGAUGAAGAGCCACAAGAAGCUCUCGGUCAUUGAGAACACGAGUGCGCUUCUUGGGUCGUUGGGCAAUUGUGCUAUCAGUGUCUUCAGUGGGAGCAGGAUGCGGUGCACGUGUAGUGCCAGCCAAAGGAUACACACGAGUGACUGCUUCAACUCCUUCAAUGUUCUGAGAAAAACUUUGAUGCUCUGCAUUCUGAAGACUUAGAGGUUCCUUGGUAGGCUCAGGAUAGAUGGCUUCAAUAGACAUAUCCACAUCAGGCAGAAAGAUCCGAUGAUUGCGAGCAGAUGGCUGAUAUGAGAUAGCGGAGUGAAGUUUGAUCAGCCGCAUUACCCAUGGGGCGUAGAACUUCAAGCCAAAAAGAUCAGAGCCUGAUGCAGCAAGUUGGCGAAUGAAGAAGUCAUGUGCAUUGAAGCAUUUGCCAUAAAGAAUAUAGAAGACCAAAGUCUUCAUUGCACCUUCCAGCUUGGCAUGUGGAGAGUGUCCUUUGAUGGGCCAGAGAGUUCGCCUUAUAAUGUGAUAAAUAGUCCUUGGUAGAUACUCAAGGUCUUCAGCAAAGAACUCUUUGGGAUAUGCAUCAUCUUGGGGCAAUGGCUUCAUCAUACUGAGCAUCUGACUCAUGUUAGGUUCAGGCUUCUGAAAGAUGCUCUCCACAGCUUCACUGUGAAGUUGACAGCCAGAUUCGUAGAGAUCGCCAGGAGUGGGUAGACCAGUGAGCUCAAUGAUGUCAAAGGCUUUGGCUUCGUGAUGAACAUUUCCUGUCAUCCACUCCAGGACCCAAGUCUUCGGAUCUUUGUUAUACCCGCGGAUGUGAAGUGUGGCAUAGAAUUGGAGCAGCAACUAUUCAUUCCAAUGCUCUUGAUCGGUGAUGAAUGGCAGCAAUCCAACCUCUUUGAAGCGAUCCAGGGCUUCUUCUAAACAGGGCAGACCAGCUAUUGCUUCAAUGUCAAGACGCUUGUGUGGGAAGAUGCGACCUCUAUUGUAAAGAAUGCAGGAGUAAUAGCUUCGCUGCGGAUAGCUCCAGAACCGAUCAGAUGAUAUUCUUUCCCUUGAGUAGGGGUUCCUAGAGCUAUUGAAGAAAGUGUUGUCUGCUUUGAAGCCAUUGAUAUUGAAGGAUCCAGGUGUUGAUGUAGGACCUGGGAACCUGGGCAAUCUUGGGAUUGGCUUCUGUAGCUGAGGCCUGUGCUCAACAUGAUAGUCGAACUGAGGACCGGCAGCAGGCGCCUGAACAGAGGUAGUGGGAUCAGUGGCUUUGCUGACUUUUGGUGCUUUUGUUGGUGAGGGCUCCACAUUAGCUUCAGCCAUGACAACGUCAGUGGCUUCAUUGGUGUUGGUGGUGGCAGCCUCAAGAUUUUCAACCUCCACUUGACAAGCUGGAGGGUCGGUCACAAUCACGUUCUCCUCGAGAACCGCUUCUUGGUGGGACAGGGGAGUAGCAGCUUGUGGGGCUUCUUCUUCAUCGGCUGAUGCAGCCGGAAUGUCUUCAGCAGCUUUAGCUUCAGACACAGAGACUGGAGGCCUUGGUCCUUUGCGAAGCCUAUGCAACGCUGGCGACGCCUGUGGAGUUGGUGUUGGCUGGGCCUCAAAGUCUUCUUCCUCUUGUGGGCGAUCAGCCCAUGAAGCAUCCUGAGCAAUUGGCGUCAGAGGACGACCAAUGCUGAUGAGUUCGCUGUGUGUUAGCACAGGCGAUGAUACCUGUUGGUGCUCGAGCUGAGGAAGGACUGCAUCAUCUUCAACAUGGUCACGGUGACCAAUGUCUUCAGCAGCGAUGGGAUCAGCUGCUAGAAAGUCUUCAGCUUCAUGAGCCUCUGUGAAAGCAGGCUCAUGGACAGUCAGUUGAUGUUCUUGUGGUUCAGCGUCAGGGUGAACCAUGGAGAUGGGUUCAACAAUCAAGGGCUCUGUGGGAGCAGCCCGUUCCUUCUUGGUCUUCCUCUUCUUCUUGGAGGGGACAGUAGGAGAGGCUUCAGGAUGUUUCCUCUUCCUGGCUUCAGCCUCAGCAGUCCUCGUCUUCUUCAGCUCUGAAGCAGUUGACCGGGCCUUUGGCUUUGAGCCAGUCAUGCUAGUUGGGAAGACAAUGGGAUCUGCUUCCUGCCUUGGUGUGAGAGGUUCGGCCACAAUGGGUUUCUUCUUCUGCUUAGCAGCCAUCCUGGGAUCAAUGUCCGGACGCCCAAGGGCCUUGCGCUUCUCAGCUUCGUUGUAGCCUUGCACACACUUGUCAGCCAGGCUCUUCGUGCGCUCCCGAGAACCCUGAGCUUCUGCGCGUUUCUUGAGAAAGGCUUCUUUGAGCUCGUCCAGCAUAAUCUUGAAGUUUUUCACCUCUUGCACGCUGAGCUUGGCCAUAUGCUUCUUGAACUGAGCCUUUUCAUAGUCAAUCUUUUUCUUCAGUUCGAUGAUGCGCUAAGCGAGAUCUAGCUCUGAAGCAAUGGCGCCAUGGAAGGCGACACUGAGGCCAAUUGGUAGUUGCAGAUCUUCGAAGCUGAUGUUUGGCGUGUCAAACCACUCAUCAAUGAAGUUGUGGAUGAUUGUCACGUCAAAGAGAGGCAGAUCAUUGAAGAUUUCUGCUUCUUCUUUGCUCUUGAUGAGUUGCUCAAGAGCGUUAUCUGCAAGAUCUUCCUCACUGGACAGAUCAAUGGCAUCGUUGCACAGAAUGGCAGCAGCUGUCAGCUCUUGGCUGGUGUGUGGCAGAGGCAUCUUGACCUUCUGGGGCUUGGAGAUGCGUGACAAAUCUUCAGACUGCACACUGUCUUUAGGAGGUGCAGUUGCCAAUGGCUUCGCUCGUGAGAUUUUUGGUGCAGAGGCAGGCUUGGAAGCUUUUGGCUGCUUCAAAUUCUUUGGCUUUGGCGCUGCAGGCGCUUCAUCUGAGUCAGCGUCAUCUGCAGGCUCAUUUACGGCAGUCCCUUGAACCACUAUGUGGGUGAUGAGACCUUCAAGGUUGUAGAAGGGCCCAAGAAGAUUGGGUUCAGCUUCGCGAGUUCCAUCGGCACGGGGAGCAGAGGGACCAAGGUUGAAAUCUAAUCCCAAAUACUUCUUGUUCCGCUUCGCUGAGUUCUGGGCAAACUGGAAGUUGCGCUUAAACAGAUUGUCGUCACGACACCAUAGCAGUGACGAUGGGUCAGCAUCCGUAGGCUGUGGUCCACGGACCAUGCAAGGAUAGAAGCCUUGUUCAAUGGCUUCAUCUCUGGUCCUGGGUUGAAGAUUUUUGUAGAGGAUGUCUCCCCAUGGUCGCUUGAUGGCAUUCUUUUCAGCAUAUUCCUUUGUCACAAAUCUGUACUUGAACCACUGUUCUGCCCAAUAGCGUCGAAUCCAUUGGAUUCGUGUCUUGCGCUGAUUGUAAUCCUCUUUAGGAUCUGUCUUGUACAACUUUGAGAGGUCAUCAGGCAGAUCUCUUGAUGUUUCUCCUCGACGCUUUCUGCCACCCUUCCUUGCUGAUUUUUCUGAAGCCAUGAACUUUAAACUGAAAGGCUUCAAUACGUUCAAAGGCGUCAAUGGCUUUCGCUUGCUGGACAGACGGGAACUGGCUUCGGGAGAAUUUAUGUGAUACUGUAAGAAUUCUGCAAAUGAAUGCAGACUAUGAGAACCAAGGGAUUCUCCCACGGACAUGUACCUGUGACAGCAUUAAGGUGCGAGGGAAGGGGAAGAGGUCAUAUGCAUUCUCAGAAGAUUUUGAAGAUAAAUCAGUUAAGAAGACAUUGACCUCAUCGUGCGAAGACAUUCACUCAUAGAUAAGGAGUUGGUUCCAGAUUUGUACGAAUCCACGGAUCAGUACAAGUGAGGAAUCUAACUACUUUGUGAAGCAUAAGUGAAUAUACUAGGCAUGUUAUGAGAUGCAGUAUGAAAGAGAUCCAACUUGUGUGAAUAGAAACUGCUUGUGGUAGAAAGUGAUAAAGCUAUAGGAUCAAAGGGGCUGUAAAAAGGAAGUUUUAUUUACCACACGAAGAACUGCUAGACGGAGUGGAAGAGGAGGCCGAGCAGUUCGAUCCUCCGUGCCCUAACUUGGCGACGGAGGACACCUACGGCGACAGCGGAGAAGACGAUGUCCACGGUCGGCGUGAAGACGGCGUCGGAGAGGUUGCGACAGCGAAGCGCUUCGUCACCAGCGUCGUCGAGGGCUAGCAGUGGCGCUAGGGUUCGUGCGAGAGUGGAAGAAGAGAUAAUGAUUGCUGUGAGGUGUGUAUUUAUAGGUACAGGGGCGGCACUGCGUUAUUACAUAGGUGCCCCUAGCGAUUCACAUCUGAGGAACACGUGGCCAUCAUGCAGCAUAUCGGGGGUUGUUCCACGUCCCACGCACACCUGGAUUGUCGGGUGGUCGUUCCCACUUCUCCGGGUUUCAGGUGAAGGAAUGAGCAUUGAAAACAUACUUAAUGUUUGUCUCUGUAUCUUCUGCUGACAAGGACGCAGAGAAGACAUUCGACAGUUUCAAUAGAAUGCAUAUGAUUUGGAGAGAUAGAGUUUGAGAUAGAAAGCAUAGAGAGGUUAGGGUCCAAUCACAUUCACUUAGUUAAAAAGAUUCAACAAGAAGACAUAGCUAUAAGUGAAUGCUGUAGAGGAUAGAACACUAGUAUAUAUAUAAUCAACAUAGUGAAGAUAAUCAUGAAGACAUGUUGAGAUUGAAGCCAAACCAAAUGUGAAGACAUAGCAAAUGUAACGCCAUGAGUGAAAUACUUCAAACAGAACAUUUGGUGGUGGCGUUACCCACCGUAUAGGAAGUAUUAGACCCAGACACGGCACAUAAUUAUCGUGGCGCUCCGAAGUCAAAUUCCACAUUAAUGUAUUCACACUUAGAAUGUAUGUCUUCAUUGAUUGAAGAUCUACUUUACUUCAUGUGUUGCACGUCUAAGUCAUCAAUAUGCAUAAGUGUUAGGAUGUGUGCCUGAUCACAGGACAUUUGAGGAUUCCAAGAUAUUUAGCUCACACCGUAACUUGCAAAAUCUCUUUUCAUCCAAGGGAUUGGUGAAGAUAUCUGCCAAUAGCUCUUCAGUGUUGACGUGCAUGAUAUCAAUAUCUUCCUUCACAACAUGAUCUCUGAGAAAGUGAUGACGAAUUUCAAUGUGUUUUGUCUUCGAGUGCUGAACUGGGUUGUUGGCAAUCUUGAUGGCGCUUUCGUUGUCGCAGUAGAGUGGCACUUGCUUCAGAUGAAUGCCAUAGUCCUUGAGUGUUUGCUUCAUCCACAGAAGCUGAGCGCAGCAAGAUCCAGCAGCAAUGUAUUCAGAUUCAGCAGUGGAGAGAGAUACACAGUUCUGCUUCUUUGAAGACCAACAUACAAGUGAUCAUCCCAGAAAAUGACAUGUGCCUGAUGUAGACUUGCGAUCCACUUUGUCACCAGAAUAAUCAGCAUCCGAGAAUCCAACCAGAUCAAACUCUGAGCCCUUUGGAUACCAUAAUCCUAGAGUUGGGGUGUGAGCCAAAUAUCGAAGAAUUCACUUCACAGCUAAGUGAUGCGACUCCUUUGGUGCCGCUUGAAAUCGAGCACACAUGCAAACACUAAGCAUAAUAUCUGGCCUAGAUGCACAUAGAUAAAGCAAAGAACCAAUCAUGGAGCGGUAUACCUUUUGGUCGAACUCUUUACCAUUGUCGUCAGGACCCAGAUGAUGCUUGGCUGGCAUUGGCAUCGUGAAGCCUUUGCAGUCUUGCAUACCGAACUUCUUCAGGCAAUCUUUGAGAUACUUCUCUUGAGAUAUGAAGAUGUCGUUGCGUUGCUGUCGUAUUUGAAGACCGAGGAAGAACUUCAGCUCUCCCAUCAUGGACAUCUGAUAUUGCUCUUGCAUCAUAUAUCAAAACUCUUCACUGUACUUCUGAUUGGUGCAGCCGAAGAUAAUGUCAUCCACAUAUAUUUGGCACACAAAAAGUUCACCAUCAUAUGUCUUCGUGAAGAGAGUGGGGUCGAGGGAACCAGGUAUGAAGCCUUUGCUCUUCAGGAAGUAUUUUGAGUGUGUCAUACCAGCCCGAGGGGCUUGCUUGAGGCCAUACAGUGCCUUGUUGAGCUUGUAUACCAUGUCAGGAUGUUUUGGAUCUUCAAAGCCAGGCGGUUGUGCAACAUACACUUCUUCUUCAAUCUUGCCAUUGAUAAAGGCGCUCUUCACAUCCAUUUGAUAUAGAAGUAUGUUAUGAUGAUUUGCAUAGGCCAGCAGUAUGCGUAUGGCUUCAAGUCUAGCCACAGGAGCAAAUGUUUCAUCAAAGUCAAUGCCUUCCACUUGAGUAUAUCCUUGAGCAACGAGACGAGCUUUGUUUCUGACAACUUGACCAUGCUCAUCUUGCUUGUUGCGGUAUAUCCAUUUGGUGCCUAUUAUGUUGUGCUUCCGAGGAUCAGGACGCUUAACCAGUUCCCAUACAUUAUUCAGCUCAAACUGUUGAAGCUCUUCUUGCAUAGCUUGAAUCCAUUCAGGUUCCAUGAAGGCUUCUUCAACUUUCUUGGGUUCUGUUAUUGAGACAAAUGCGAAGUGCCCACAGAAAUUUGCUAGCUGAGUUGCCCUUGAACGAGUGAGCAGACUGGGUGCAUUGAUGCUAUCAAUUAUUCUCUCAAUCUGCACUUCAUUGGCAACACGAGGAUGUACAGGGCGAAGGUUUUGCUCUUGCUGAUCAUUGUCAUUGUUAGUGGGAUUGUCUUCAGGCUAAGCAUUGUCUUCAGGUUGAUCAGGUGCGGAGAUGAUAAGUUCCUCUUCAGGUUGAGCUUCAGAGGGUAUGAUUUCUCCGGUUCCCAUAAGCUUGAUUGAUUCACUGGAUGGAACUUCAUCUAGCACAUUUGGGAGGUGCUCUCUUUGUGAAUCGUUAGUCUCAUCAAACCGCACAUCCACUAUUUCAACCACUUUAUAAUGAAAGAGAUUGAAGACUCUGUAGGAGUGCGAAUCCUUUCCAUAUCCAAGCAUAAAACCCUCAUGUGCUUUUGGUGCAAAUUUUGAAGUGUGAUGUGGAUCCUUGAUCCAGCACCUGGCGCCAAAUACUCUGAAGUAACUAACAUUUGGCUUCUUGCCAGUAAGGAGCUCAUAAGAUGUCUUGUUCAGAAGCUUGUGAAGAUAAACAUGAUUGAUUGUAUGGCAUGCAGUAUCAAUGGCUUCAGGCCAUAAUUUUCUUGGAGUCUUGUAUUCAUCAAGCAUCAUUCGGGCCAUCUCAAUGAGUGUUCUGUUCUUGCGUUCGACGACGCCAUUCUGCUAUGGCGUGUACGGGGCUGAGAAUUCAUGUGUGAUGCCCAAGGUAUCAAGAUAUGUAUCAAGGCCGGUGUUCUUGAAUUCAGUGCCAUUGUCACUUCUGAUGUGCUUUAUCUUGGCGCCAUAGUUGUUCAUUGCUUGAUUGGCGAAGCGUCUGAAGACAUCCUGCACUUCAGUCUUGUAGAGGAUUAUGUGCACCCAAGUAUAUCUAUAAUAAUCAUCAACAAUGACAAAGCCAUAGAGACAAGCAGUAGUAGUAAGAGUUGAGUAAUGAGUGGGACCGAAAAGAUCCAUGUGGAGCAGUUCGAAGGGUCGAGUAGUUGUCAUGAUUGUCUUCGAGGGAUGUUUGGCCCUCGUCAUCUUUCCUGCUUCACAGGCACCGCAUAAGUGAUCUUUCUUGAACUUGACGCCCUCGAUGCCUAUGACAUGCUUCUUCUUUGCAAGGGUGUGGAGGUUCCUCAUGCCAGCAUGCCCUAGCCUCCGAUGCUAGAGCCAGCAAUCUGAAGCUUUUGCUAGAAGACAUACGGCAAGCUGUGGUCCUGCUGAGAAAUCUACCACGUACAAAUCAUCUUUCCGAUACCCUUCAAACACUAGAGACUUGUCAGAUUCCAUUAGAACAAGGUAGCGAUAUUUUCCAAAUAUUACGAUCAUGUUCAAAUCGUAAAGCAUUGAGACAGACAUUAAGUUGAAGCCAGGGGAUUCUAGCAUGACUUUAUCCAUGUGUUGAUCCUUUGAGAUUGCAACUCUACCUAGACCCAAUACCUUAGUUUUACCAGUGUCAGCAAAUGUGAUGUGACUCUUGUCGAAUGGACGUAAGGUUGAGUCCAUAAGAAGGCUUCUUUUGCCAGUCAUGUGAUUGGUACGCCCACUAUCAAUAAUCCAUACUGAAGACACUGGUGUCGUACCCUACAGUGCAGUUAAGGGGAUAGGCUUCGCGAAGAGAAUUGUGAAGCAAAAACAUUUGACGAACCAGUGGGUUAUGAAAUCUUAGAUCCAGAUUAGGACUAAUAGGGAGAGUAGCAAGCGAUUCAGGAACGAAGUACAUAGUAAGACCAUUCGGGCAUUUGAUCUUGCGCCCUACAAGAUGUUCAAGGUCUCCAACAAUAGCAUCAGACGAUUUUGGUUUUCUGCUGGAGACCUUUCCCUGCAAAAGAGAGUUAAGCUUUCUUAGCCACCCACAUCUUCAAGGGUGGCUUAGAAGCAAUAAGUCUAAGUGCAGCGUCUGAGAACUUUGGCUUUGGAGCCCUAGCAAAAAGUCUUGCAGGCGGACAAUAGUACUCAUAAGAAUAAGCAGAAUAGUUCUUGGUCUUAUGAGCAUGGCGGUUUGAUGAACCGCGCUUAUAUUCAUAGGCCUGAGCAUGGUUUCCCUGCAAAACAUUUGCGUUAGUGUGACUCGGGUCAGUCCUCUAUCUGUAUGAAGCCUUUGGGACGUAUGAAGCCUAUGAUCUGGGGUUUGUCUUCUUCAUCUGUGGUGUCGUGAUGACAUUCACAGGAAGAUUUUCCAAACACUCUUUUGGCACCCAGAUCUUCUUCAUAGGCGGUCCAUUCCUGCAGUUAGUACCAAUGUACCUGGAAAACACUUCACCAUUCUGAUUCUUAAACAGUUUAUAGUUUGUAUCAAAGGAUUCAUCAAUGACAAUGGGGUUAGCACAAGUGAAGCCACAUAGAUUGGAAGGAUCUGCUGAAGGUUCCUUUGCAGCAACUCAUGUAGUUUUGGGGUACUGCUCAGGUUUCCAGUAAGAGCCAUCAGCAUUCAUUUUCCUUAGGAACCCAACACCCUCUUUUCUAGGGUUUCGGUUCAGGAUCUGUCUUUUGGGGACAUCACAUAGUGUCUGAUGCCCUUUGAGACUUUUGUACAUCCCUGUUUCAAGAAAUGUCUUCAACCUCGCAUUCUCAUCAGCAAUAGCAGUGGAAUCCUCAGUAGAGGGGUUAGUUCCCACAUCAACAGUUGAAGAUAUUGCAACAGUAGCAGCAGUGGAACAUUCAGCAAUAGAAGUAGCAUGAUCACGCUCAAUGCAUUUAAGACAUGGUGGUUCAAAUCCUUCCUGAGCGGAACUGAUCUGUUUGGCGCGAAGUGACUCAUUUUCUUUUUGAAGAUCUUCAUGAGCUGCUCUCAAUUUCUCAAGAUCUUGCUUCCUUUGAAGAUAAUCAUAGGAAAGCUUUUCAUGAGUAGUUGAGAGCGUUUCAUGACGACUUUCAAGUUCCUCAUACUUAACGUGAAGAUUUUUUAUGUCUUCAAUUAAGGACUCAUAUCGAGUCAUUUCAGCGCCUAACAGAUCAUUGCUUUUGUCUAACAGUUUUUGAAUAUGUUCCAUGGCUUUCUGUUGUUCAGUUGCAAUUUUAGCAAGUGUUUUGUAGCUGGGUUUUGAACCACAAUCAGAGUCAUCGUCACUAGAUGUUUGAUAGUGAGUAGUGUGUGUGUUUACCUUGGCACCGCGUGCCAUGAAGCAGUAGGUAGGAGCGGAGUAGUCCUUGUCAUUUGCAUCGGUGUCGGUGAGGAAGUCAUUGUCUUCAGUGUUGAAGAUGGACUUGGCAACGUAUGCUAUAGCUAGACUUGCAACGCCAGAAUCGGACUCCUCCUCAGACUCCACCUCCGCCUCCUCAGAAGUGGACUCCUCCUCUGAAUCCAUUUCCUUGCCAACAAACGCAUGUGCCUUGCCAGAUGAGCUCUUCUUGUGUGAUGAAGACUUUGAGGAAGACUUGGAAGAAGACUUUGAGUAUUUCUUCUUCUUCUUGUCGUCAGAGUCAUAUUCCUUGCUCUUCUUCUUCUUCCUGUUCUCAUUGUCCCACUGCGGACACUCAGAGAUGAAGUGGCCAGUUUUCUUGCACUUGUGGCAUGUUUUCUUCUUGUAGUCAUGAGCAGAAGCUUCAUAAUUCCUUGAGCUUGAUCGUGAAGACUUUCUGAAGCCUUUCUUCUUGGUGAAUUUUUGGAACUUCUUCACAAGCACAGCAAGUUCCUUUCCAAUGUCUUCAGGAUCAUCAGAACUGCUGUCAGAUUCUUCUUCAGAUGAGGAGACAGCUUUUGCCUUCAAGACACGAGUUUGCCCAUAGUUUGGACCGUAGAUAUCUCUUUUCUCAUAAAGCUGAAACUCAUGUGUGUUGAGCCUCUCAAGUAUGUCAGACGGGUCGAGUGUCUUGAAAUCAGGACAUUCUUGAAUCAUCAGGGCUAGGGUGUCAAACGAAUUGUCAAGUGAUCUCAGUAGUGUCUUGACGACUUCAUGCUUGGUGAUCUCAGUAGCGCCAAGGGCUUGAAGCUCAUUCGUGAUGUCAGUGAGUCGAUCAAAUGUGAGCUGGACAUUCUCAUUGUCAUUUCUCUUGAAGCGGUUGAAGAGGUUGCGAAGGACACUAAUUCUCUGAUCUCUCUGGGUUGAGAUGCCUUCGUUGACCUUGGAGAGCCAGUCCCAGACUAGCUUAGAUGUUUCCAAAGCACUCACACAGCCAUAUUGUCCUUUGGUCAGAUAACCACAGAUGAUAUUCUUGGCAGUAGAGUCCAGUUGAAUGAAAUUCUUGACAUCAGCAGCAGUGACACCUUCUCCAGCCUUGGGAACGCCGUUCUUGACGACAUACCAUAGGUCGACGUCAAUGGCUUCAAGAUGCAUGCGCAUCUUAUUCUUCCAGUAGGGAUAUUCAAUUCCAUCGAAGACGGGGCACGCAGCGGAGACUUUAAUUAUCCCUGCAGUCGACAUAGCUAAAACUCCAGGUGGUUAAACCGAAUCACACAGCACAAGAGAGUACCUUGCUCAUAUACCAAUUGAAAGUGCGUUAUAUCGACUAGAGGGGGGGUGAAUAGGCAAUUUUUAUGUAAGUCUUCAAAACGUGGAAGUUUCGAAGACAAACGAUAGAAAUAAACCUAUUACCAUGCAGCGGAAGGUAGACUACACUAGGCAAACCAUAGUCAAGUAUUCAAUGGAGUGAGAGCACAAUUACUAAUAGCAGCAAUGUAGUAAGGAUCAGGUAGGAAGAUGUUAUGAAGCCAAAUAGAACACGCAGUCACUCAGUGAAGACAAAAGAUAGUGCAAACAUACAAUGACUUCACAAGGAGUAAAGUAAGUAAAGGGAAGGGAAGGAUGAAACCACUGACUCGUUGAAGACAAUGAUUUGUUGGACCAGUUCCAGUUGUUGUGACAACUGUAUGUCUGGUUAGGGCGGCUAGGUAUUUAAACCUGAGGACACACAGUCCCGGACAUCCAGUCCUGAACACGCAGCUCAGGACACCCAGUCCUCACCAUAUUCCCCUUGAGCUAAGGUCACACAAACCUCGCCCAAUCACUCUAGUAAGUCUUCAAGGUAGACUCCCAAACCUUCACAGACUUUGUUCACCGGCGAUCCACAAUGUCUCUUGGAUGCUCAGAACGCGACGCCUAAUCGGCUGGAGGAUUCACAGUCCUCAAGUGUAAUAAGUCUUCAGAUCACACAGACAAGAAGACUUAAGUGAUGCCUAAUUCUCUUUGGCUCUAGGUGGUUAGGGCUUUAUCCUCGCAAGGAAUUCUCUCUCAAAGGCUUCAAGGUGGGUUGCUCUCAAACGACAAAAGCCGUACUCUAACUCUGAGCAGCCAACCAUUUAUGGUUGUAGGGGGUGGGCUAUUUAUAGCCACUAGGCAACCUGACCUGAUUUGUCCGGAAUGACCCUGGGUCACUAAGGAACUGACACGUGUUCCAAUGGUCAGAUUUCAAACUCACAUGGCAACUUUACUUGGGCUACAAGCAAAGCUGACUUUUCCGACUCUGGACAAGAUUCGCUCUCGUAGUCUUCACUCGAAGACAUAGGUUUUGGUUAAGCAUCACUUCAGUCAUUCUGACUGGUUCUCUUGGACCCCACUUAACAGUAUGGUGGUUCCUAUGACUCAACAAAGAAGAAAAAGAACUACAAAAGAUCUAAGUCUUCGAGCUCCAUAGGCUUCAUGCGAUGUCUUCUCUUGUCAUAGUCUUCAAUGUGAAUAUCUUCAUAUACCACCUUUGACAUCAAUGUCUUCAUACAUUUUUAGGGGUCAUCUCUGGUAGGAAAACCGAAUCAAUGAGGAACUUCUACCUGUGUUAUCCUGCAAUUCUCACAAACACAUUAGUCCCUCAACUAGGUUUUUCGUCAAUACUCCAAAAACAACUAGAGGUGGCACUAGAUGCACUUACACCCACCGCAAACUGCUGCCUGUAGUGUGAGCCCGAGCAACUCCGGCGUGCCUCCACCAUGUCCCAUGGUCGCCGCCGGCCAAACUCUGGCGGGCCGACGUGGCCACUUAGUUAGGAGCUAAUCACCCCUAGAACCACUGCGUAGAGGGCCCUGCUGCCUAAUUAAACCGCUAUUUAGUUUUAAUUUAGAUUAGUUAACAAAACCAGCGGACCCACACGUCAUGGUUGACUGGCUGACAUGGCAGUUGACCGGGCCCACCUGUCAGCGACACAAAUGACGCCGGGUCACUGACCAGUGGAACCCACACGUCAGGUCUGACCUGGGCUGGCGCCAUUGACCUUAUGACGUCAGCAUGGUGUCAUGUUGACGCAGUAUUGAUUUUCUGGAUUUAAAAUAAUUCAUAAAAUUGUAGAAAAUAUCCAAAACUUCAAAAAUUCAUAAUAAUUCAACCGUAACUCCAAAUGAAAUAAGUUAUAUAUGAAAAAUUAUUAGAAAAAUCCAAUCUAUCCAUCUGUACCGUUUUCAUGCAUUUUUAAACAAGUUAACUUGAUGUUUAGUGCAAAUCAUGGUAAAGCACUAUUUAAGAUCACAAAUGAGUUUGAACUUUGAAUCUUUGGUUCAAAAUAACUCAAACCCAUCUGGUUGUAGUUACAUUAGCCCAACACACUCAUUUUACCAUGUCAUGAUCAUGCAUCAUAUUGUGCAUUCCAUUGAUUAUGUUUCUUUCUCUGUUGCCGGUGGUUGUUCCCCCUCGGUAGAUGUAUGUUCCGACGAUGAGUUCGAUGACACCGAUGAAGAGCUAUUACUAUCUUCAGCAGUGUCAGGCAAGCAUAACCCCCUUGUUCAUUCCGAUACAAUCCCACUCUCUCACUCCUGCUCUCUUUUACUGCAUUAGGACAACAACGAUUCAACUGUUAUAUGUUGCGGUAGCUGAACCCCUUUCCUCUGCAUGACAUGUCAUUGCCACGGUAAAUAGAUGAAACCCACUAGCAUGAGUGGGAGUUGUUUGAGCCCUGAUGUGCCUACUUAUUCAUGUUUGUUUGUGAUGCCUGCUACUGCUUAGAGUUGAGUCAGGUAUGAUUCACCAGGGAUGAAUUGGAAUGUGGUGAACAUGUCCUACUGUUGAGAGCUAAGUGUGUGAACACGAUUUGGUAAAGGUAGCGGUGAGAGGCCAUGUAGGAGUACCUGGUGGGUUGUCUCAUUGCAGCUGUCCUUAGGAACUGAUUUAUGUGUUUGUGAUCCAUGAACAGUUACUACCACACAUUGGGCUUCGGGCACUCCAAGCUCUCUCGACUUAUUAAUCAACUCGAUCUCUGUCCAGGAGUUGCAACUAUUUUCUGGUGUUUGUAGGUAGUGUAAGUAGUCUACCAAGUGGCACCCGAUACAGGUGGACUUGGGACAGACUAGGCACAGGGGCACGGUGUACCAAGUGGCACCCGGAUGAUGGGCUUGAGAACCCUGUACACAUCGUUUGGGGCCGUGAGCGACACCCCGGCCGGAUCUCCUUGCGGAUGGAACCCGAAUAGGCGAUAAACCUGGACUAGAGACUUGUGGGGUUAGUCAGGUUGUGGCCGACUCCCUCGCCAGGCUUCCGCUUGAAGGUUGCUGAUAUACACGAUGUGUACAUGGUGGUAAGUGGCGAGAGCGUGUGUGAAGUACACCCCUGCAGCGUUAUCAUUAUCUAUUCGAAUAGCCGAAUUCCUCGGAUAUGGAAACUUGGACCCCUUGCAUAGUUCUUAGACAAGUGAAAGUGGAUACUCUAAAAUGCGCAAGAUAAGGGUGAGUGCUAUGGAUGGCGUUCUUGUAGGGAGACGGGAGCGGAUCCAUAGUGGUGUAUUGAUAUGGUGAAUAUGUGGACUCGUGUGCGCCACCUCAAAAGAGUUACUUGCAGUCGUAGUUCAGGAUAGCCACCGAGUCAAAGCUGGCUUGCUGCAGUUAAACUUCACCACCCCCUUUGUUGAUACUGAUGCAUAUGUAGAUAGUUCUGAUGUAAGUCUUGUUGGGUACAUUUGUACUCACGUUUGAUUAAUUUAUGUUUUGCAGAGAGACGUCAGUCUCGCUAGUAGUUCCGUGUGGACUUCGAUGUUUAGCUUGUUACCCCAGCUAUGAUCUUGUGCCCUCGGCAGGAUCUGGUAGAUAGUCAGGCUUCUCAGCCUUUUUCAUUUGUAGAAGUCUAUACUCAGACAUGUUAAGCUUCCGCAUGUGCUUCGACUUGUAUGCUCUGUAUGUUGGGUCAUGAGACCCAUGUUUGUAAUAUCUCGCUCCUCGGAGCCUAAUGAAUAAAUACUUGAGUCGUAGAGUUAUGUUGUGAUGCCAUGUUGUAUUUACACAUGUCGAGCAUAUUGUGUGUAUGAUUGAAAUGCUUGGUUUGUGUGGGAUCCGACAACCUAGUUGUUUAUCCUUGGUAGCCUCUCUUAUGGGGAAAUGUAGUCUUGUGCUUCCAUGAGCCAUAGUAGUCCGCUACAGCCCGGUUCACUAGAGUCCUGCUAGCCCAGCACUACUGCUUUGGACACUUGACUGGCCGGCAUGUGUUUCGCUUCGUUCCUGUGUCUGUCCCUUCGGGGAAAUGUCACGCGGUGACAUCCGGAGUCCUGCCUAGCCUGCUACAGCCUGGGUUCCCGGAGUCCUGUUAGCCCAGUGCUACAGCCCGGAUUCACACGCUGCUGACCGACAUGCUCGAUGUGAUUCAUGUAUGCUUGUCCCCAUAGGUUGGUGCCGCUUUGGGUUCAUGACUAGCCAUGUCGGCCCGGGUUCUCUGUCAUAUGGAUGCUAGCGACACUAUCAUAUACGUGAGCCAAAAGGCGCAAACGGUCCCGGGCCAUGGUAAGGCGACACCCGUGGGAAUACCGUGCGUGAGGCCGCAAAGUGAUAUGAGGUGUUACCGGCUAGAUCGAUGUGACUUGGAAUCGGGGUCCUGACAGCUUUGGUAUCAGAGCCUGACUGCUUGUAGGAUUACCAAGCCAAGCUGGUCGAAGUCGUGUCUAGAAAUGCUUUAGUUAUGUAAGGGAAUUGAUUGUGGAAGGGAACGUAAGGCUCUUUUUACUCCUUUACCCUAUGGCCUUCUAAUCUGAGUCAUCUUAUAUUUCUACGGGGUUAAGAACUAGGCUUCUCUUCUAUCUCUCAGGAUGACGUGUUACUAAACCGUAGUUGCCUAGGAUUGUUGAGUUCAAGCCCCAGUUCAGUUUCUACUACCUUCAUGUGAUGACAGUUGAUCUCAGAAUCUUGAUAUUGUGAUGUUGAGUGGUUAUGCCAUCAUUUUGCAGGAUGUCUCAAAUCAUUUUGAGCAUUUACAGUCGUUAUGCUGUCCGAGUCAUCCCAGGUUUCUAAAUAGUCUGAUGCAUUUGCAACUCCCUUCUUUCUGUUCCCGAUGUUCCUUUGGGCCAGAUUAACCACACUAAUCGGUGUGUUGAGGUACUAUGUUGCCUUGACGUGUAUAUUGGAGUUAGUAUUAUGACCCUAGGUGUCCUUGAGAUUUUAGCAAUGCUACCAUAUCCCCAGUGUGAUGAUUCUAGCCAUCAUUCUUUAAAGCAUCCCGUGAUGCCAUCUAGUAGUAGGUAUUCUACUCCUGGGUUCUUGACCCAAGAUCCACUCUACUUACCUCGUGUUGACAUUGUUGCUAGUUCCUUUAGGAUAUUAGUAACCUUGUGAUAGUCCUUGAGGUCUGUGGUAUAUCGUUCUUCCAAUACCAUGAGACAAUAUGGCAGAGGUUCUUUUGAACCAAAGGAUCACAACAAGAGUGAUCUUGAUGAGUUCUCCAUUUUAUCGUGAAUCUGCCAGUUCUACCUUUCUACAUGGGUUAUCUGGAAGAAACCUGUUGAACUUGGUUCGACAUAUUAAUCUAUGCAUCCACAACUCAGAGAGAUAUAUGUCCUCUUGAGUUGUCCCUCUUCUUUUGUAUUCUGACCAUCGUCUAUCAAUUGAUAGCCAGGAGUAAUUGUGCAUCCGUGUUAUCGAUGCUUAUUAUUCUUGUGGUCUGUUAAGCCAUUCUAUUUCAGAAUGACUAGGAGAAACAAACUCCAGUACCUUGUCCAUAUCUAGGAUUGGGUCAAAGCAAUUUCAUUCCGCAGAUCAAAAUGCCAAUCCAGCUUUUAUUCUGUUCUACCCUGGAAUAUUACCCUCUUUAUGUCAAGGAAGUCAUAGGAAUUGCACACCAUCCUAUGAAUUCUUGGUGCAGUGAUACUUCUCGCCAUCAUUAUUCAUUCCUCGGUCUCUGUGUUGUGGUGACCGGAAUGCCGACAAGUGAACCGUGAUGUGUGAAAUCAAUAUUCCUAGAAACUCUGUUGCUUGGUAGUUAAUGGACAUUAAUAUCAUUCUUAGGGUGUUGGUUAUCGAUUCACUACUCUAGGAUUGAUCGUGCUAUCUUGUCCUUAUUUCUGGUGCACUCUUCGAUCUUUGAGUUAGAAUUGAAUCCCUUACUCUUCUGAUCAUGUCUUCUUGCCUUGAAAAGCAAGAUUGUUCUCGAGCUUAGAGACAUAUCAGUGGUUCGUGAUUUUCCAGAUAUCUUCACGGAAGUAUCACCAGGUCGUCCCCUGACCGAUAUGUUGAGUUCGUGAUCAAGUUGGUUUUCCAAUCAACCACCCCUUCUCCAAGAAUCUAUGUUGGAUAUCCCUGAACUAGUUUGAUAAGCUAAACAAUAACGUGGAGAGUUGGAAGAUGAAAGCUUGUCCGACUUAGUUCAUCACUAAGGGAUAUCCUUGUGUGUGUGGGCGUUGAGGAAACAUGAUAUCUUCCUCGAUUGAUCCCCGUGAUCAGUUGUCGGUGCUAUUAUCUUAUCCAAUCCUUGAUUUGAGUGUGGGCUAUCGUCAAAUGAAAUCAGAGCCAACGAUAUUCGUAAUGUUGUCUACUUGUGGUUGACUCCUCGAGCAUACACCAUUACAUCUUUUGGUCUGACAAAUACUAUCACAUUGUUCACAUGAUGAUGGAAGUCCAGUGAUAUGGAAAUUCCGAUGAGUUGCUGUUGAGCCCAUCAGCAGCAUCUUGUCUCCCCCAUGAUUCAUGUUAAACAUUAAGCUGGCGUUGGAAACUUUGUAAGCAUUUUCCUUCAUGUUCGGCUCAUGAGGUAUAUGUUUGGUGAAAGAAGUGACUUUCUCCAAGUUCACGUGCAUUAGGUGUAAGUUGCCGCCGUGAAUUCAAGAAAGUUCGUCUUUGCUUCCUCUGGAAUCAUCCCAAGUCAGUCAUGCAUGUGCGAAGUAUUUUGUGGUCUGUUAGACUGAUCAUCUUCAUUACAUAUGUAUUCCCUAGCACACCAAGCCACUGAUUGAUCUGUUCAAGGAUAAGAAGUUCAUCGAUAAGUAUACAAGGACUUCGAUAUCCUCAAUGAUGGUUCCCCAUCUGAACCCGGUAGUGUUUUUAUUGUAAGACUACUAUGUGAUCAUGCUUGUCUUGGACAGCAUGUUCAUAGGUUUGUAGCAGAACCAGCUCAUGUUUUGAAGCUUGCUAUCGUAGUUCAUUUCCCAAGAAUCUUGCAACGUCAUCUCUUGAUUUGUGUUGCUACCUUCUUUUUCUAGAUACGCUGUCUGGAAUAUUCCGUUACCAAUCAUAUCUGAACCUCAGGCAGAUAUGAUAGUUGGAACAUUCCCACCAUUUGCAUUUUGUUCCCAGCUUGCACCGCCAUUGUGCCAUUUUUCCAUGGGUUGCCCUUCUUAGCAGUUGCUUCCAGGAUCAUCUCCAAAGGUGGUCCUACCAUGGGUCCCAUCCAUUCCCGAUGAUAAGCAAAAAUCAUCCAUUGCGUUGUCUUCAACAAGGUAGUCCACAUCAUCCAUUCUAGUCUGGGUAUGCCAUUCCUCUGAACUCCACCAAACGAUUGUUGGUGAGUUGCCUUAGGCUGGUAUAGAGAGUUUCAAUGAUCUCCGUAUCAAAAGUAAUUUUUUUCCACUUAAGGGAAUAACUCUAUGAGUCAUCUCCCCUAAGAUGUCUCGUUAUGGUAUCAUGGCAAUUACUUCCUCGCCACCUUGACACCAUCCACCAUCUUUCUAAGCGUGGAAUUGUUGCCCACCAAAUCAAACCCCGUCAUUUGUUCUUCCAUUCCUCUCGAUGUGUUUUGUGUCUCAACUCGAGAUGUUUCAACAUCUCAUUUCGUGAGUUGAUCUUGUAUAGCUCGAUCUUCGAGAAGAUCAAUCCUAGUAUAGCUUCUUUCCAUCGUCAUCGUGUGGAUAAAGAUCUCAAAGCGAGGAUGUCAAGAUCAACAUAUGCAACGAAUCAACAACCUUAUGAGGUGCAACCUGGAUCGUGAAGAUUGUGUUAGCUUGUGUCCCUCUGUCUUCUUACCUCACGAGUUGAAUCUCGGGAUGAGAUUCUUGUUUAGUAGGGGUGAGUUGUCACAUCCCUAGUUCUGGUAUGCACUAGGCUAACCCUUCAUGUGUGCAUCAUGUUUAAAUUUCUCAAAAACUUGAAAUGGGGAUUGCCUAAACCCCUAGCAUCAAAGGAAUCACUAGGUUCACCUAAAUUAUUUUUAGUACAUCCAAAUGGCUUUCAAAAAUGUUCAUCAUUUAUGGAAAAUGCUAUAAACAGUAACCACAGGUGAUGCACAUUUUUCCAUGACAUAUUUGGGCUCUGAAUUAAAUCAUACUUUAUUAGCAUUUGGGCAUUUAAAUACUAUAAAUCAUUUUAAAUGUCCAAAUGAUCCUGAAAGUAAAUGAGGGCUAUUGGAAAUAUUCCAAAGAGAGCCCACAAAUAUUUCAGGAUUUGUGAAAAUGCUCUAUCAUUUUUAUUAAAGCAAAAACAAUUACAGAAAAUAGAAAAACAGAAACUAAAUAGAAAAUCGGAGAGAGGGCACUGUACCUAGCAGCACACUUACCUAGCCCAGCUAGCGGCCCAGCCCACGCAGCCAUCCGCCAGUCAUCGUCCUCCUCGAGCCAGAAGGACGAGAGCGCGUGGCCACCGCGUGCAAGCACACGCCCUGGCCACCUCCUUCUUCUGCCGACGCCCUGGACGACCCCAGAUGGCGCCACACACCUCCCUGCAUCUCUCUCUCACUCUCCCUCGCUCUCACCCCCUUCCCUAGAUCCCUCUCUUUCGUGCCCGAGCGCACCGCAGCGCACCGCCGAGCACCACCGUGGCCGUCGCCUCUCCCUCGUCCCCUCGAGCAGUCCAGAGGCCCCGCCUCGUCGCCCUCGUCCUCUCUGCCGAGCCACGCGGCACCGGACGCCCCUAAACGUCGUCACCGCAGUCGUCUUCUACCUCGGCCAACCGAGAUCGCCGGCGCCCAUCCGUCGUCCAUGGUGCCUCCCCGAGCCUGCUGAGGCCUCCAUUGGAAUCCAUGUGAGCUCCCGCCCCGAACCCCUCUCUUCCCCGCCUCUUUUGCGCCAUGUAGCCCUAGUUUCACCGGAGCCGAUAGCUCGUCGCCGUCGGCCAUGCCGCCACCGCGGCUACGGCCGCGCAAGCUCGCCUCCAAGAACGUCAACGCACUUAGGGAGUCUCCAGGAGCUCAAAUCACCCGCCAGUUAGGCCUGCCCUGCACCAUAGCCGCAACCCCGUGCAAACCCGAAAUCCGUCCGCCGCCGCGAGCUUGAUUCCGGCAAGCUUGGGUCGUCCCAGCCCCUCCCUCCUGCCCCAGUAGACGCGCGCGAACGCCAGCUCACUGUAGAGCCAAACCCUGCCGCAAACCGCCGCCUGUAGUGCGAGCCCGAGCAACUCCGGCGUGCCUCCGCCGUGUCCCGUGGUCGCCGCCGGCCAAACUCCGGCGGGCCGACGUGGCCACUUAGUUAGGAGCUAAUCACCCCUAGAGACACUAAGUAGAGGGCCCUGCUGCCUAAUUAAACUGCUAUUUAGUUUUAAUUUAGAUUAGUUAACAAAAAUAGCGGACCCACGCGUCAUGGUUGACUGGCUGACGUGGCAGUUGACCGGGCCCACCUGUCAGUGACACAAAUGACGACGGGUCACUGACCAGUGGAACCCACAGGUCAGGUUUGACCUGGGCUAUCGCCAUUGACCUGAUAACGUCAGCAUGGUGUCAUGUUGACGCAGUAUUGAUUUUCUGGAUUUAAAAUAAUUCAGAAAAUUGCAGAAAAUAUCCAAAACUUCAAAAAUUCAUAAUAAUUCAACCGUAACUCCAAAUGAAAUAAGUUAUAUAUGAAAAAUUAUCAGAAAAAUCCAAUCUAUCCAUCUGUACCAUUUUAUUCCAUGUUUAAACAAGUUAAAUUGCUGUUUAGUGCAAAACAUGAUAAAGCACUAUUUAAGAUCACAAAUGAGUUUGAACUUUGAAUCUUUGGUUCAAAAUUGCUCAAACCCAUCUGGUUGUAGUUACAUUAUCCCAACACACUCAUUUUACCAUGUCAUGAUCAUGCAUCAUAUUAUGCAUUCCAUUGAUUGUGUUUCUUUCUCUGUUGCCGGUGGUUGUUCCCCCUCGGUAAAUGUAUGUUCCGACGAUGAGUUCGAUGACACCGAUGAAGAGCUAUUACUAUCUUCAGUACUGCCAGGCAAGCAUAACCCCCUUGUUCAUUCCGAUACAAUCCCACUCUCUCGCUCCUGCUCUCUUUUACUGCAUUAGGACAACAACGAUUCAACUGUUAUAUGUUGCGGUAGCUGAACCCCUUUCCUCUGCAUGACAUGUCAUUGCCACGGUAAAUAGAUGAAACCCACUAGCAUGAGUGGGAGUUGUUUGAGCCCUGAUGUGCCUACUCAUUCAUGUUUGUUUGUGAUGCCUGCUACUGCUUAGAGUUGAGUCAGGUAUGAUUCACCGGGGAUGAAUUGGAAUGUGGUGAACAUGUCCUACUGUUGAGAGCUAAGUGUGUGAACACGAUUUGGUAAAGGUAGCGGUGAGAGGCCAUGUAGGAGUACCUGGUGGGUUGUCUCAUUGCAGCUGUCCUUAGGAACUGAUUUAUGUGUUUGUGAUCCAUGAACAGUUACUACCACACAUUGGGCUUCGGGCACUCCAAGCUCUCUCGACUUAUUAAUCAACUCGAUCUCUGUCCAGGAGUUGCAACUAUUUUCUGGUGUUUGUAGGUAGUGUUAGUAGUCUACCAAGUGGCACCCGGUACAGGUUGACUUGGGAUAGACUAGGCACAGGGGCCCGGUGUACCAAGUGGCACCCGGAUGGUGGGCUUGGGAACCCUGUACACAUCGUUUGGGGCCGUGAGCGACACCCCGGUCGGAUCUCCUUGCGGAUGGAACCCGAAUAGGCGAUAAACCUGGACUAGAGACUUGUGUGGUUAGUCAGGUCGUGGCCGACUCCCUCGCCAGGCUUCCGCUUGAAGGUUGCCGAUAUACAUGAUGUGUACAUGGUGGUAAGUGGCGAGAGCAUGUGUGAAGAAGUACACCCCUGCAGGGUUAUCAUUAUCUAUUCGAAUAGCCGAAUUCCUCGGAUAUGAAAACUUGGACCCCUUGCAUAGUUCUUAGACAAGUGAAAGUGGAUACUCUAAAAUGCGCAAGAUAAGCGUGAGUGCUAUGGAUGGCAUUCUCGUAGGGAGACCGGAGCGGAUCCAUAGUGGUGUAUUGAUAUGGUGAAUAUGUGGACUCGUGUGCGCCACCUCAAAAGAGUUACUUGCAGUCGUAGUUCAGGAUAGCCACCGAGUCAAAUCUGGCUUGCUGCACUUAAACUUCACCACCCCCUUUGUUGAUACUGAUGCAUAUGUAGAUAGUUCGGAUGUAAGUCUUGUUGGGUACAUUUGUACUCACGUUUGCUUAAUUUAUGUUUUGCAGAGAGAUGUCAGUCUCGCUAGUAGUUCCGUGUGGACUUCGACGUUUAGCUUGUUACCCCAGCUACGAUCUUGUGCCCUCGGCAGGAUCUGGUAGAUAGUCAGGCUUCUCAGCCUUUUUCAUUUGUAGAAGUCUGUACUCAGACAUGUUAAGCUUCCGCAUGUGCUUUGACUUGUAUGAUCUGUAUGUUGGGUCAUGAGACCCAUGUUUGUAAUAUCUCGCUCCUCGGAGCCUAAUGAAUAAAUACUUGAGUCGUAGAGUUAUGUUGUGAUGCCAUGUUGUAUUUACACAUGUCGAGCAUAUUGUGUGUAUGAUUGAAAUGCUUGGUUUGUGUGGGAUCCGACAACCUAGUUGUUUAUCCUUGGUAGCCUCUCUUAUGGGGAAAUGUAGUCUUGUGCUUCCAUGAGCCAUAGUAGUCCGCUACAGCCCGGUUCACCGGAGUCCUGCUAGCCCAGCACUACUGCUUAGGACACUUGACUGGCCGGCAUGUGUUUCGCUUUGUUCCUAUGUCUGUCCCUUUGGGGAAAUGCCACGUGGUGAUAUCCGGAGUCCUGCCUAGCCUGCUACAGCCCGGGUUCCCGGAGUCCUGUUAGCCCAGUGCUACAGCCCGGAUUCACACGCUGCUGACCGACAUGCUCAAUGUGAUUCAUGUAUGCCUGUCCCCAUAGGUUGGUGCCGCUUUGGGUUCACGACUAGCCAUGUCGGCCUGGGUUCUCUGUCAUAUGGAUGCUAGCGACACUAUCAUAUACGUGUGCCAAAAGGCACAAACGGUCCCGGGCCAUGGUAAGGCGAGACCCGUGGGAAUACCGUGCGUGAGGCCGCAAAGUGAUAUGAGGUGUUACCGGCUAAAUCGAUGUGACUUGUAAUCGGGGUCCUGACAGUGAUAAAGUGUAUCAUAUCACGGGGUUUGGAUGCACCGGUGAAGUUUGCACCAACUCUCGAGGUGAGAAAGGGCAAUCCACGGUACCGAAGAGGCUAGCAAUGAUGGAAGGGUGAGAGUGUGUAUAAUCCAUGGACUCAACAUUAGUCAUAAAGAACUCACAUACUUAUUGCAAAAAUCUACAAGUCAUCAAAACCAAGCACUAUGCGCAUGCUCCUAGGGGAAUAGAUUGGUAGGAAAAGACCAUCGCUCAUCCCCGGCCGCCACUCAUAAGGAAAGCAAUCAAAGAACACCUCAUGCUUCAAAUUUGUCACACAACAUUUACCAUACGUGCAUGCUACGGGACUUGCCAACUUCAACACAAGUAUUUCUCAAUUUCAUAAUUACUCAACUAGCACAACUCUAAUAUUACCACCUUUAUAUCUCAAAACAACUAUCAAGAAUCAAACUUCUCAUCAUAUUUAAUGCAUUCUAUAUGAAAGUUUUUAUUAUACCCAUGUUGGAUGCCUAUCAUAUUAGGACCAAUUUUAUAGCCAAAGCAAAUUACCAUGCUGUUCUAAAAGUCUCUCAAAAUAAUAUAAUUGAAGCAUGAGACAUCAAUAAUUUCUAUAAGAUAAAACCACCACCAUGCUCUAAAAAGAUAUAAGUGAAGUACUAGAGCUAAAUUAUCUAGCUCAAAAGAUAUAAGUGAAGCACAUAGAUUAUUCUAAUAAAUUCCGAUUCAUGCGUGUCUCUCAAAAAGGUGUGUACAGCAAGGAUGAUUGUGGUAAACUAAAAAGCAAAGACUCAAAUCAUACAAGGCGCUCCAAGCAAAACACAUAUCAUGUGGUGAAUGAAAAUAUAGCCUCAAGUAAAGUUACCGAUAGAUGAAGACAAAAGAGGGGAUGCCUUCCGAGGCAUCCCCAAGCUUAGGCUUUUGGUUGUCCUUGGAUUUUACCUUGGGGUGCCUUGGGCUUUCGCAAGAUUUGGCUCUUUCCACUCCUUGUUCCGAAAUCCAUCAUAUCUUUACCCAAAAACUUGAAAAUUUCACAACACAAAACUCAACAGAAAAUCUCAUGAGCUCCGUUAGUAUAAGAAAACAAACCACCACUUUAAGGUACUGUAAUGAACUCAUUAUUUAUUUAUAUUGGUGUUAAACCUACUGUAUUCCAACUUCUCUAUGGUUCAUACCCCCCGAUACUAGCCAUAGAUUCAUCAAAAUAAUCAAACAACACACGAAAAACAGAAUAUGUCAAAAACAGAACAGUUUGUAGUAAUCUGUAGGUUUCGAAUACUUCUGUAACUCCAAAAAUCCUGUGAAAUUAGGACAUCGUAAAUAAUUUGUAUAUUGGUCUACUGAAGUUGUAAUUGGUAUUUUAACACUGUCUGGUAAAAAAUGAAAAUUAUUCUCGUGAGCGCAUACUUUCUGUUUUUUCAGCAAGAUCAAACAACAAUAAUCCAAGAAGAUCCUAAAGGCUUUACUUGGCACAAACACUAAUUAAAACAUAAAAAUUAUAAUAGAGGAUAUAUGAUUUAUUUAUUACUAAACAGGAACAAAAAUCAAGGAACAAAAAUAAAAUUGGGUUUCCUCCCAACAAGCGUUACCGUUUAACGCCCCUAGCUAGGCAUACAAACAAGAAUAGAUCUAGGUAUUGUCAUCUUUGGUAUGCAAUCCAUAUGUGGCUCUCAUAAUAGAUUAAUAAGGUAAUUUAAUUUUCUUUCUAGGAAAGUGUUCCAUGAUUUUCCUUAACGGAAAUUGGAAUCUAAUAUUUCCUUCUUUCAUAUCAAUAAUUGCACCAAUUGUUCUAAGGAAAGGUCUACCAAGAAUAAUAGGACAUGUAGGAUUGCAAUCUAUAUCAAGAACAAUGAAAUCUACAGGCACAUAAUUCAUAUUUGCAACAAUAAGAACAUCAUUAAUUCUUCCCAUAGGUUUCUUAAUGGCGGAAUCCGCAAGAUGCAAAUUUAAAGAACAAUCAUCAAAUUCACGGAAACCUAACACAUCACACAAAGUUUUUGGAAUCGUGGAAACACUAGCGCCCAAAUCACAUAAAGCAUAGCAUUCAUGAUCUUUAAUAUUAAUUUUAAUAGUAGGUUCCCACUCAUCAUAAAGUUUUCUAGGGAUGGAAACUUCUAAUUCAAAUUUUUCUUCAGAAGAUUGCAUAAAAGCAUCAACGAUAUGUUUGGUAAAAGCUUUGUUUUGAUCAUAAGCAUGACAAGAAUUUAACACAGAUUGCAACUAGGAAAUACAAUCUAUAAAAGAGCAAUUAUCAUAAUUAAAUUCCUUGAAAUCCAAAAUAGUGGGUUCAUUGCUAUGUAAAGCUUUGACCUCUUCAAUCCCAGUUUUACCAAAUUUUUCAUCAAGACCUAAAAACUCCGAAUCAUUGGGACGCCUUCUAAAUAAAGUUGACUCAUAUCCAGUCCCAAUUUUAUAAAGAUUCAUAUUGGCACACAAAGACUUAAUAGGAGACACACCAAUCACUUUUAGAUCUUCAUCAUUAUUAUCAUGAAAACUAGAAGAACAUGAGUUCAUAAAGCAAUCUUUUUUAGCACGCAUCCUAGCGGUUCUUUCUUUGCACUCAUCAAUGGAAAUUCUCAUGGCUUUGAGAGACUCAUUGAUAUCAUGCUUAGGUGGAAUAGAUCUAAGUUUCAAAGAAUCAACAUCAAGAGAAAUUAUAUCCACGUUCCUAGCCAACUCAUCAAUCUUAAGCAAUUUUUUAGGGUAUAAGAGUAUAUAUAGGCGAAAGAAUUAGGUCGGUGGAGCUACGAGGGGACCACGAGGGUGGGGGGCGCGCCGCCCUACCUCGUGGCCGCCUCGUGGCUUUCUUGACCUCCAUUCCAAGUCUCCUAGAUUGCAUUUGUUCCAAAAAUAUCCUCGUGAAGGUUUCAUUCCGUUUGGAUUCCGUUU